UUUGAGACAAAUCAUUACCA
rnacentral:snRNA from 1 species